UACAGAGGUCUCAAGCGUUGUUCGGAUUCAUUGGGCGUAAAGGGUGUGUAGGUGGCGCCGUAAGUCGGGUGUGAAAUUUCGGAGCUUAACUCCGAAACUGCAUUCGAUACUGCGGUGCUUGAGGACUGGAGAGGAGACUGGAAUUCAUGGUGUAGCAGUGAAAUGCGUAGAUAUCGAGAGGAACACCUGCGGCGAAGGCGGGUUGCUGGGCCGACACUGACGCUGAUGCGCGAAAGCCAGGGGAGCGAACGGG
rnacentral:rRNA from 1 species